rnacentral:rRNA from 1 species
GAUCAUGGCUCAGAACGAACGCUGGCGGCAUGCCUAACACAUGCAAGUCGAACGAGACCUUCGGGUCUAGUGGCGCACGGGUGCGUAACGCGUGGGAACCUGCCUUUAGGUUCGGAAUAACUCAGAGAAAUUUGAGCUAAUACCGGAUGAUGUCUUCGGACCAAAGAUUUAUCGCCUUUAGAUGGGCCCGCGUUGGAUUAGCUAGUUGGUGGGGUAAAGGCCUACCAAGGCGACGAUCCAUAGCUGGUCUGAGAGGAUGAUCAGCCACACUGGGACUGAGACACGGCCCAGACUCCUACGGGAGGCAGCAGUGGGGAAUUUUGGACAAUGGGCGAAAGCCUGAUCCAGCCAUUCCGCGUGCAGGAUGAAGGCCCUCGGGUUGUAAACCGCUUUCAGCAGGGAAGAAGCGAAAGUGACGGUACCUGCAGAAGAAGCACCGGCUAACUAUGUG